UGUAUUAUAGGAGUCUCUUAGAGACUCAGCAAUGAGCAGACAGCAGUUUCCAUCUGGAAACAUACAGUCCCGUGGAGGGAGAGAUGACGAAUGUCACUACAGAAGAAACGUCUAGGAAUAAGAGGCUUCCAGAGGAAGUGAGAAGAGAGCUGAGUCUUGAAGGAAUAGAUGCUUGCCAGGUGGACAGUGGACAAGGAAACACGACAGCCAAAAGCAAAAAUGUGCCACUGCAGCCUGGCAGUGAACAGCCUGGAGUUUAUUAAGGGACAUUUACAUGGAGGCACAUCCUGAGCACCUGCAAGAUGAAGGGAGGAGGCGAAGCGUCUUUACCUAUGCCUCCAUCUUGACUGGCAGUCCGACAUUCACCAAUUUUGGGGCUGUGUUUCUGCAACUGGGGCCUCAGAUUCUUCAGGAAAUUACUCUUCCUAAACCACCCACUGUGUUGUGCUUCCCACUGGCAUUCAUGCUCUGCCUCAUCUUACUGGUCUCACCAUUGCUCUGCAUGUGCCCAGUCUACAGCACAUCUGGCCCCUUAAUGCCCAUUGCACACACCAUAGUUCUUCUUCUCUCUGCCUGGGGUCUCGUUCCCUCUGAAACUGGAGGUGGGGGUCUCUUCCACCCCAUGCCAUUUCCGUACAAGUCCUGUGCAUGCCUCAGGACCCUUAGCACACCUCCCUCUCCUCAAAAAGCUCUCCUCAUGUCCUCACAUAUUUCUGCUGAGUCCCCUUAGAUUGAGCACUGUAUCCCACACCACUUGACAUUGUAGACUUGCAGGGGUGGUUGGCUAACCGUCUUAUGAAUGUUCAUUCUUUUCUCUGUGAACAGGGUUCGUAUUUCCUACCAGAGAUCAUAAUGUGUACUUUUAAUUUAUCCUCCUUAACACCCAGCAGAGAGUUGGGUAUUCAGCAGGAGCUUAAUAUGCAAAUAUUGACUUAACUCCGUGUCCCCUUUGUAAGUGUUUUUUUGU